CUACGGAGGGUGCAAGCGUUAUUCGGAAUCACUGGGCGUAAAGGACGCGUAGGCGGGUUGGCAAGUCAGAUGUGAAAUCCUACAGCUUAACUGUAGAACUGCAUUUGAAACUGCUAACCUAGAGUAUGGGAGGGGGAGAUGGAAUUAGUGGUGUAGGGGUAAAAUCCGUAGAUAUCACUAGGAAUACCGAAAGCGAAGGCGAUCUCCUGGAACAUAACUGACGCUAAGGCGUGAAAGCGUGGGGAGCAGACAGGAUUAGAAACCCUUGUAGUCC
rnacentral:rRNA from 1 species